AGUGGCGAACGGGUGAGUAAUGCAUCGGAACGUGCCCAAUCGUGGGGGAUAACGCAGCGAAAGCUGUGCUAAUACCGCAUACGAUCUACGGAUGAAAGCGGGGGACCUUCGGGCCUCGCGCGAUUGGAGCGGCCGAUGUUAGAUUAGGUAGUUGGUGGGGUAAAGGCUCACCAAGCCGACGAUCUAUAGCUGGUCUGAGAGGACGACCAGCCACACUGGAACUGAGACACGGUCCAGACUCCUACGGGAGGCAGCAGUGGGGAAUUUUGGACAAUGGGCGCAAGCCUGAUCCAGCAAUACCGCGUGCAGGAAGAAGGCCUUCGGGUUGUAAACUGCUUUUGUACGGAACGAAACGGUCUGGAUUAAUACUCUGGGCUAAUGACGGUACCGUAAGAAUAAGCACCGGCUAACUACGUGCCAGCAGCCGCGGUAAUACGUAGGGUGCAAGCGUUAAUCGGAAUUACUGGGCGUAAAGCGUGCGCAGGCGGUUUUGUAAGACAGGCGUGAAAUCCCCGGGCUCAACCUGGGAAUUGCGCUUGUGACUGCAAGGCUAGAGUACGGUAGAGGGGGGUAGAAUUCCGCGUGUAGCAGUGAAAUGCGUAGAUAUGCGGAGGAACACCGAUGGCGAAGGCAGCCCCCUGGACCUGUACUGACGCUCAUGCACGAAAGCGUGGGGAGCAAACAGGAUUAGAUACCCUGGUAG
rnacentral:rRNA from 1 species